rnacentral:piRNA from 1 species
AUGGUUCCAAUGAGAGUGUUACAGGAC